CCUACGGGUGGCAGCAGUGGGGGAUAUUGCACAAUGGGGGAAACUCUGAUGCAGCGACGCCGCGUGGGUGCAGAAGCGCCUCGGCGCGUAAAGCCCUGUCAGCAGGGAAGAAAAUGACGGUACCUGAAGAAGAAGCCCCCGCUAACUACGUGACACCAGCCGCGGUAAUACGUAGGGGGCAAGCGUUAUCCGGCUUUACUGGGUGGAAAGGGGGCGCAGACGGGGAUGCAAGCCAGGAGUGAAAGCCCCGGGCCCAACCCAGGGACUGCCCGUGGAACUACGUGGCUAGAAUGCAGGAGGGGCAGGCGGAAUGCCUGGUGUAGCGGUGAGAUGCGUAGAUAUCAGGAGGAACACCGGUGGCGAAGGCGGCCUGCUGGACUGCAACUGACGUUGAGGCCCGAAAGCGUGGGGAGCAAACAGGAUUAGAUACCCGGGUAGUC
rnacentral:rRNA from 1 species